AGUGAACGCUGGCGGUAGGCCUAACACAUGCAAGUCGAACGGCAGCACAGUAAGAGCUUGCUCUUACGGGUGGCGAGUGGCGGACGGGUGAGGAAUACAUCGGAAUCUACUUUUUCGUGGGGGAUAACGUAGGGAAACUUACGCUAAUACCGCAUACGACCUACGGGUGAAAGCAGGGGAUCUUCGGACCUUGCGCGAUUGAAUGAGCCGAUGUCGGAUUAGCUAGUUGGCGGGGUAAAGGCCCACCAAGGCGACGAUCCGUAGCUGGUCUGAGAGGAUGAACAGCCACACUGGAACUGAGACACGGUCCAGACUCCUACGGGAGGCAGCAGUCGGGAAUAUUGGACAAUGGGCGCAAGCCUGAUCCAGCCAUACCGCGUGGGUGAAGAAGGCCUUCGGGUUGUAAAGCCCUUUUGUUGGGAAAGAAAAGCAGCAGGUUAAUACCCCGCUGUUCUGACGGUACCCAAAGAAUAAGCACCGGCUAACUUCGUG
rnacentral:rRNA from 1 species